ACGAACGCUGGCGGCGUGCCUAAUACAUGCAAGUAGAACGCACAGUUUAUACCGUAGCUUGCUACACCAUAGACUGUGAGUUGCGAACGGGUGAGUAACGCGUAGGUAACCUGCCUGGUAGCGGGGGAUAACUAUUGGAAACGAUAGCUAAUACCGCAUAAUAUUAAUUAUUGCAUGAUAAUUAAUUGAAAGGUGCAAUUGCACCACUACCAGAUGGACCUGCGUUGUAUUAGCUAGUAGGUGAGGUAACGGCUCACCUAGGCGACGAUACAUAGCCGACCUGAGAGGGUGAUCGGCCACACUGGGACUGAGACACGGCCCAGACUCCUACGGGAGGCAGCAGUAGGGAAUCUUCGGCAAUGGACGAAAGUCUGACCGAGCAACGCCGCGUGAGUGAAGAAGGUUUUCGGAUCGUAAAGCUCUGUUGUAAGAGAAGAACGGGUGUGAGAGUGGAAAGCUCACACUGUGACGGUAUCUUACCAGAAAGGGACGGCUAACUACGUG
rnacentral:rRNA from 1 species